CAAAUGUCGCAAAAGGUGUGGAGAGCAUUGAUGACUUGGCAUGGAACCCACAAGCACCCGGGUGAUAAUAGGUAGUAGUUGUAAACGAUAAUGACAUUGAAUUAUCAGGAGACGUGACACAACAGUUAUCACGUGAUAUUAACCCCCUCUCUUCAUAAAACAGCUUUGGAAUUGAUUUAUACACACAAGUCUUCAAGUUCUGACAUCCCGUCUUCCCUAGACUUAAACUAUGCAAGAACUAUCGUGAAAACAUUUUAAUAAGAUCAACCAUAAGUAGUAUUAACAACAUGUAUUCCAGGUCUGGAUAUCACACGAGGGGAUUGUACGCCUGACUCGCUAAAUCUUAUUCAGUAUCUCUGCUUCGUUUUCUAGAAAUGUAACGAUGCGUGACGAUUGACAAAGGACGAGAUUAUUUUGACUGAAAUAGAUCAUCUGGGUAUGUUACUCCUCGGUUCAAACAAUUUUCUUAUUUACGAGAUUAUUGUACAGUGUUCAUGUUACAAAAUGUCGCGACUUUUGAGUUUUGUUGCAUAACAUCUUUCCUGUAAUACUGAAGACACUUGUUACCGUAUUGUCUCUGGAUUUCAAAGAAACGUCAGCACUCUCACUUAGGGGCAACACUACAUAAAUUUGGUACCUACCCACAGCAUGAUGUACCGAACUGCAGAGGGAAAUAGCGCUAUAUAAAUGAAGCAUUGUUAUUAUUAUUAAAAUGAGAUAAACUUCAACUAUGGUAUAGGAUUAUUAAUGUGAACUUCUAAGGAAAAACGUGAGAUGAAACUAUCCGAGUCUGUGUUGAUGGUCAAGAAGGAAGUUUGAAGCAAUUGGCCAGCACUCUUCUGGGUCAUCUAAAAAUCUGCUAAAAACAAAUCAUGGCUUGUUCUUCACUCAAGGAAUCACUA